rnacentral:rRNA from 1 species
GAACGGGUGAGUAACACGUGGGCAAUCUGCCCUGCACUCUGGGACAAGCCCUGGAAACGGGGUCUAAUACCGGAUAACACUCCUACACUCAUGUGUGGGUGUUGAAAGCUCCGGCGGUGCAGGAUGAGCCCGCGGCCUAUCAGCUUGUUGGUGAGGUAAUGGCUCACCAAGGCGACGACGGGUAGCCGGCCUGAGAGGGCGACCGGCCACACUGGGACUGAGACACGGCCCAGACUCCUACGGGAGGCAGCAGUGGGGAAUAUUGCACAAUGGGCGAAAGCCUGAUGCAGCGACGCCGCGUGAGGGAUGACGGCCUUCGGGUUGUAAACCUCUUUCAGCAGGGAAGAAGCGCAAGUGACGGUACCUGCAGAAGAAGCGCCGGCUAACUACGUGCCAGCAGCCGCGGUAAUACGUAGGGCGCAAGCGUUGUCCGGAAUUAUUGGGCGUAAAGAGCUCGUAGGCGGCUUGUCACGUCGGGUGUGAAAGCCCGGGGCUUAACCCCGGGUCUGCAUUCGAUACGGGCUAGCUAGAGUGUGGUAGGGGAGAUCGGAAUUCCUGGUGUAGCGGUGAAAUGCGCAGAUAUCAGGANGAACACCGGUGGCGAAGGCGGAUCUCUGGGCCAUUACUGACGCUGANGAGCGAAA